rnacentral:tRNA from 1 species
GCUCCCAUAGUAUAGAGGUUAUUACAAGGCACUUGUAAUGCUUAGAUGUCCGUUCGAUUCGGACUGGGAGCUCCA